rnacentral:rRNA from 1 species
UACGUAGGGGGCAAGCGUUGUCCGGAUUUAUUGGGCGUAAAGAGCGUGUAGGCGGCUGGGUAGGUCCGCUGUGAAAACUCGAGGCUUAACCUCGAGACGUCGGUGGAAACCAUCCAGCUAGAGUCCGGAAGAGGAGAGUGGAAUUCCUGGUGUAGCGGUGAAAUGCGCAGAUACCAGGAAGAACACCCGUGGCGAAAGCGGCUCUCUGGGACGGUACUGACGCUGAGACGCGAAAGCGUGGGGAGCGAACAGG